GCUAUCUUGCCCUAGAAAGGGAACUCGGAGGGGACUCACUGACGAAAGGAGCUCCAGAUGGCGGGGGGCCAACCUGGGGCGACCCCCAGCGCCCACUUUCACCAUCUGGACCCCAGCAAACCUCCCUGUGGCCCUUGGUCCCGUCUUCAGCAGCUCCUUCUGGGGUCCCACACCUUCGGAGCCCGGCCCUGCCCCUGAGUCUCUGGAGAGAGCGAGUCAGCAGUUCGCCGCCGCGGGGCUCCCGUUUGCCUAGCACGCCAGUUUCUGUCCAGUUUCACCCCAAAUCCCCACCUCCCCCCACCCCCGAACCUCACGGCCACCCUGGGAAGGAGGCUUGACUUGUGACAUCCACCCCUCUUCACGGCUGAGGAACUUUGGCCCCGAGCGAGGAAGCGACCGGCCCACGGCCACACGCCCGGAGUGGGGGGCAGCAUCUUCUACUAUGUGCAUCUACAUUGGAUGGCAGUGGAGCAACACAGAUUGUUUUCUGACAAAAAUCAGCCAAGUACUAGGAGAGGCAGGACUUUAGAAGUGGAGGAGAUGGAGAAGGAAGCUUAGGUUACUAUGGAGUGUGCAAAAAGGUCCUGUGGAUUUAGAUACCACCACACACAAAUGCUGUUGUUGGAAGGUACCUGCCCAGAUAAGGACUGCAUUUCCUCUAGCAUCCAGAUGGGACCAAAUGACUGCUGGCCAAUAGAAGUGAGUGGAAAGGACUGACUCCAGUUCCAGGUUGGGCCUCCAACUGCUCUGGGCACGUCGAUGGAACAGAACACCACCUCCACCCCAAUACCACCAAUUCAACUUUACAUGAAUUAUAAGCGAGAAAUAACUUGGACUGUGUUAAGUCAUUGAGUUUCUGGGGUUUAACUGUUAUUAUAGUUAAGAAUGACUUUAACUAAUAUAGUCAAUGACAUCUAACUGGAGUUAUGAAAUUCAAUUUCUACUUAGAGUAAUUGAAGCAAAGGUUGUGGGGGAGGGGAGGAGGGCAGCACACCAUGAAAUCAGAGAUCCCCAGUACGUGUUAGUUCAUCAGUCAAUCAGUCUUAAGGUCAGGGUGUAGUGUGGGCAGCAGUUGCCUCCCUCUCCCCACAGAACACCCUGAGAAUAGGAAGUUAGAGUAGUCGCAUCUUAUUACUUACAAAACAUUACCUCAAAAUGCAAACUACCCCCUGGACCCAAACUCUCUACAAUCACCAGGUUCCAUAAACUAUAAUCUACUCUGUUUUCUGGAAGAAAAUAUUAACCUGUUAAAAUUCCCUGCACAGAGAGGAAACUUUUUCUGGGAGGUAUUCCUGAACUCAUUUUGCCAACUUCCAGAUGAACAAAACUAAAGUUUCUUUUUGCUUCUUCCAAAAACAUAAAUUAUCAAAUAACAUUUAUAACUUGAAAAAGAAUCC
rnacentral:lncRNA from 10 species